rnacentral:rRNA from 1 species
UGUGCAGGCGGUUUCGAAAGUCCGAUGUGAAAUCCCCGGGCUUAACCUGGGAACUGCGUUGGAAACUACGAGGCUAGAGUGCGGCAGAGGGGGGUGGAAUUCCAGGUGUAGCAGUGAAAUGCGUAGAGAUCUGGAGGAACACCGAUGGCGAAGGCAGCCCCCUGGGUUAGCACUGACGCUCAUACACGAAAGCGUGGGGAGCAAACA